CGGGUGAGUAACACGUAUCCAACCUGCCGUCUACUCUUGGACAGCCUUCUGAAAGGAAGAUUAAUACAAGAUGGCAUCAUGAGUCCGCAUGUUCACAUGAUUAAAGGUAUUCCGGUAGACGAUGGGGAUGCGUUCCAUUAGAUAGUAGGCGGGGUAACGGCCCACCUAGUCUUCGAUGGAUAGGGGUUCUGAGAGGAAGGUCCCCCACAUUGGGACUGAGACACGGCCCAG
rnacentral:rRNA from 1 species